CGACCUCAGAGCAGGCGAGACUACCCGCUGAAUUUAAGCAUAUUACUAAGCGGAGGAAAAGAAACUAACAAGGAUUCCCCCAGUAGCGGCGAGCGAACAGGGAAGAGUCCAGCACCGAACCCCGCAGGCUGCCGCCUGUCGUGGCAUGUGGUGUUUGGGAGGGUCCACUACCCCGACGCCUCGCGCCGAGCCCAAGUCCAACUUGAAUGAGGCCACGGCCCGUAGAGGGUGCCAGGCCCGUAGCGGCCGGUGCGAGCGUCGGCGGGACCUCUCCUUCGAGUCGGGUUGCUUGAGAGUGCAGCUCCAAGUGGGUGGUAAACUCCAUCUGAGACUAAAUAUGACCACGAGACCGAUAGCGAACAAGUACCGUGAGGGAAAGUUGAAAAGAACUUUGAAGAGAGAGUUCAAAAGUACGUGAAACCGUUCUGGGGUAAACGUGAGAAGUCCGAAAGGUCGAACGGGUGAGAUUCACGCCCAUCCGGCCACUGGCCUCCGCCCUCGGCAGAUGGGGCCGGCCGCCCGCGCGGAGCAAUCCGCGGCGGGGUCGUGUCCGGUUGCCUUUCCACUCGCCGCGGGGUGGGGCCGUUCCGGUGUGCGGUGGGCCGCACUUCUCCCCUAGUAGGACGUCGCGACCCGCUGGGUGCCGGCCUACGGCCCGGGUGCGCAGCCUGUCCUUCCGCGGGCCUCGGUUCGCGUCUGUUGGGCAGAGCCCCGGUGUCCUGGCUGGCUGCCCGGCGGUAUAUCUGGAGGAGUCGAUUCGCCCCUUUGGGCGCUCGGGCUCCCGGCAAGCGCGCGCGGUUCUUCCCGGAUGACGGACCUACCUGGCCCGGCCCCGGACCCGCGCCGCUGUUGGCUCGGGAUGCUCUCGGGCGGAAUAAUCGCUCCCGUCAGCGGCGCUUCAGCUUUGGACAAUUUCACGACCCGUCUUGAAACACGGACCAAGGAGUCUAACAUGUGCGCGAGUCAUUGGGCUGUACGAAACCUAAAGGCGUAAUGAAAGUGAAGGUCUCGCCUUGCGCGGGCCGAGGGAGGAUGGGGCUUCCCCGCCCUUCACGGGGCGGCGGCCUCCGCACUCCCGGGGCGUCUCGUCCUCAUUGCGAGGUGAGGCGCACCUAGAGCGUACACGUUGGGACCCGAAAGAUGGUGAACUAUGCCUGGCCAGGACGAAGUCAGGGGAAACCCUGAUGGAGGUCCGUAGCGAUUCUGACGUGCAAAUCGAUCGUCGGAGCUGGGUAUAGGGGCGAAAGACUAAUCGAACCAUCUAGUAGCUGGUUCCCUCCGAAGUUUCCCUCAGGAUAGCUGGUGCUCGUACGAGUCUCAUCCGGUAAAGCGAAUGAUUAGAGGCCUUGGGGCCGAAACGACCUCAACCUAUUCUCAAACUUUAAAUGGGUGAGAUCUCCGGCUUGCUUGAUAUGCUGAAGCCGCGAGCAAACGACUCGGAUCGGAGUGCCAAGUGGGCCACUUUUGGUAAGCAGAACUGGCGCUGUGGGAUGAACCAAACGCCGAGUUAAGGCGCCCGAAUCGACGCUCAUGGGAAACCAUGAAAGGCGUUGGUUGCUUAAGACAGCAGGACGGUGGCCAUGGAAGUCGGAAUCCGCUAAGGAGUGUGUAACAACUCACCUGCCGAAGCAACUAGCCCUGAAAAUGGAUGGCGCUGAAGCGUCGUGCCUAUACUCGGCCGUCAGUCUGGCAGUCAUGGCCGGUCCUUGCGGCCGGCCGCGAAGCCCUGACGAGUAGGAGGGUCGCGGCGGUGGGCGCAGAAGGGUCUGGGCGUGAGCCUGCCUGGAGCCGCCGUCGGUGCAGAUCUUGGUGGUAGUAGCAAAUACUCCAGCGAGGCCCUGGAGGGCUGACGCGGAGAAGGGUUUCGUGUGAACAGCCGUUGCACACGAGUCAGUCGAUCCUAAGCCCUAGGAGAAAUCCGAUGUUGAUGGGGGCCGUCAUAGCAUGAUGCGCUUUGUGCUGGCCCCCGUUGGGCGAAAGGGAAUCCGGUUCCUAUUCCGGAACCCGGCAGCGGAACCGAUACAAGUCGGGCCCCUCUUUUAGAGAUGCUCGUCGGGGUAACCCAAAAGGACCCGGAGACGCCGUCGGGAGAUCGGGGAAGAGUUUUCUUUUCUGCAUGAGCGUUCGAGUUCCCUGGAAUCCUCUAGCAGGGAGAUAGGGUUUGGAACGCGAAGAGCACCGCAGUUGCGGCGGUGUCCCGAUCUUCCCCUCGGACCUUGAAAAUCCGGGAGAGGGCCACGUGGAGGUGUCGCGCCGGUUCGUACCCAUAUCCGCAGCAGGUCUCCAAGGUGAAGAGCCUCUAGUCGAUAGAAUAAUGUAGGUAAGGGAAGUCGGCAAAUUGGAUCCGUAACUUCGGGAUAAGGAUUGGCUCUGAGGAUCGGGGCGUGUCGGGCUUGGUCGGGAAGUGGGUCAGCGCUAACGUGCCGGGCCUGGGCGAGGUGAGUGCCGUAGGGGUGCCGGUAAGUGCGGGCGUUUAGCGCGGGCGUGGUCUGCUCUCGCCGUUGGUCGGCCUCGUGCUGGCCGGCGGUGCAGGAUGCGCGCGCCUGCGCGGCGUUCGCGCCCCGGUGCUUCAACCUGCGUGCAGGAUCCGAGCUCGGUCCCGUGCCUUGGCCUCCCACGGAUCUUCCUUGCUGCGAGGCCGCGUCCGCCUUAGCGUGCUCCUCCGGGGGCGCGCGGGUGCGCGGAUUCUCUUCGGCCGCCAUUCAACGAUCAACUCAGAACUGGCACGGACUGGGGGAAUCCGACUGUCUAAUUAAAACAAAGCAUUGCGAUGGCCCUAGCGGGUGUUGACGCAAUGUGAUUUCUGCCCAGUGCUCUGAAUGUCAACGUGAAGAAAUUCAAGCAAGCGCGGGUAAACGGCGGGAGUAACUAUGACUGCCCUCCCACAUCGGAGCUCGGAUCCUCGGUCGCAGAGUCAACGCUGCGGCCUUUGCAGAUGACGUCUUGCUGUUUGCAGCGACCCCGAGGGGCUUGCAGUCCCUCAUCGACGCAGCUACCGCAGCCCUCGCCCACCUGGGGCUGCAGAUCAACGCCCGGAAGUGUUUCACCCUCGCCUUAGUCGCGUCAGGGCGCGAGAAGAAGGUGAAGGUGGACAGCAAUGUCACCUUCACAGCAGGCAAUACCACCAUGCCUGCCCUGCGUGUGGGUGAAACCUUCCGGUACCUGGGGCUGCAAUUCUCUACGGCGGGUCGCUGUGUCUUCAAUCCACGUAGCCACCUGGUGGAGCAGCUUGACGUCAUCUCCCGAGCUCCGCUGAAGCCGCAACAGCGCCUCCACGCUCUCACCAACGUACUUCUCCCUGGCCUGUACCACGGGCUGGCCCUCAGCCGCACCCGGGUGGGUGCAUUGAAGUCGGCCGACGUUACCAUCCGGGCCGCCGUCAGGAGAUGGUUCCGCCUUCCGGCGGACACCCCCCUGGGAUACUUCCACGCUCCUGUUGCCCAGGGGGGCCUCGGCAUUCCAUCUUGCCGAUGGAUGGGUCCGACCCUCCGUCGGUCCCGUCUCCUGGCGCUGAAGAAGAUAGGGCCAGCCUGCGACGGUGCAGGCAUGGAUGAGGUGCAGCGUGAGAUCGAGGUGCUGGAGCGCCACCUAAUGUGGGAGGGCCACCUCCUCAAAUCGUCAACGCAGGUUGGGGAAAUGUGGGCGGCGCGCCUACACAUCGCCAUUGACGGUGCGGCACUGUCAUCUUCUGCCGCCGUCAGUGGCCAACAUCAGUGGGUCGCCGACACCAGUCGCCUGCUAUCUGGGCGUGAAUACAUCGACGCCCUCCGCGCCCGCAUCAACGCCUUCCCUACGAAGGCACGGCGCAGCCGCGGGCGGGAGGCGGACACCAGAUGCCGCGCGGGGUGCCAGGCCGUGGAGACCGCCAACCACGUACUUCAGGCUUGCUUUAGGACGCACGGGUCCCGGGUCAAGCGCCAUGACGCUGUAGUGCGUUAUGUCGCCCGUGGACUCGCGCAGAGGGGCUUCAAUGUCUCUGUGGAGCCCCACCUCCGAACACCUGAGGGCAUCCGCAAGCCUGACGUGGUGGCGGUCAAAGACGGCAUCGCCCGCGUGGUCGACGCCCAGAUAGUCGGAGACCACCUCCGGCUCGACUGGUGUCACUCCCAGAAGGCGGCCUACUACGACACGCCGUCCAUCCGGCGUGCCAUCUCCAACCUGCACCGUGACGUUGAGGAGGUGAUUGUGUCCACCGCGACGUUGAACUGGAGGGGUGUAUGGUCUCCAGCGUCGGCGAGGGAUCUCGCCGCCUUAGGCUUCCGACCCCGAGAACUGGCGGUGCUGAGCACAAGAACACUACAGAGCUGUUGCAAAAGUUACAAGAUUUUCGAGCGUAUGACGGCUCCUAGCCCGAAGCAGCGUGUCGGCGUCGGCUAGGCUGCUGGUUAUUUUUCUUCGCCUUGACUCCUGGGGCCUAUCCACAGGAGGAAUAAACCGUCUUUGUUCUUCCUUCUUUAUGUCUUUAUUUUGUGUGUUUUGUUGUUGUUCUUCCGCACUGAUAUAUAUGUAUAUGUGUAUGUUAGUUUUAUACCUGUAUCUUGUGGUACCGCCCUGUAAGUCCCCACCUCGGUGGCGGACAUGGCGUCAAACACCUGCCACGUACUAUAUAUGUAUAUAUUUUGUGUUAUUCAAAUUAUUUUGAAUAAAGACGGCUGUUGAUAGCCAAAUGCCUCGUCAUCUAAUUAGUGACGCGCAUGAAUGGAUUAACGAGAUUCCCGCUGUCCCUAUCUGGCUCCCCACUCUAUGGAGGCAUAGAGACGUGGGAUGCCUAGGGGUGUUUCCCAGGUUGAGUUGCCUUCACAUCCUCCAAGCAACACACCUCCAAGAAAGAUAAACACGACUAGACAACAUCACAUGAGAGUACAUAAAUCGAUAAACAAACGUUCUUUUCCAUGAGUAAUACCAACAUCCAUGACUAAUGAAAUAAUGAACAUCCAAAUUAUAUUAAGAAAAAUCAAUAAUACAAUGUAGAUUGGUAGAUUGCGCAAAUUUGCGGAUAU